GCAGUAAGUUGACAAUGGCCUGCUGCCGCCAGCACAUGAGGAUGCAUACCCCUGUCACAGCUUAGAGAGCAAUUACAGCUUUUGGAGACCAGCUGGCCCAUCUGCUCCUGGUGCUGCUGCACUACCAGCAAGGUGGUGUUCAGCUUGGAGGAGCUGCUCAGGCUUUUUCUUGGGCCUGUCUCUCCUGCCCAGCUGAGCUCCUCGUGCUAUGGAUCACUGGGAAGGGAAGCACAGUCCUGAGCAGCAGCUCCUGUCUGCAGCAUACAGAGUCCGUGAUUAAUCCUGGCCAUAGGGAUGAUUCAGAAUGAAACUGCAAAGCAGAGCAAAACCUUUUUGCUGCCUUCUGAAACUCAGAAUAAGAUGCAGAUGGAUGUUAUUAGAAAGGUUUUUACUUCGAAUGUGCACGGCUUGUCCACAUGGCUGAGAUUAGUGCUCAAUACUCAUAUAAAGCUUUUCAUCCUCAAAAGGACUUUACAAGCUCCAGCCCUCAAAACACCCCUACAAGAAUACUUUGAUGUUCCAUCUUAUCUCCCUCUUGUUUCCCUGAGAAAGAUAUCUGGACCCACAAAGUACUCUGGAGAAAAGGGAAAAGCAAGUAAUUUUCUGGUUUUAUGACUACUCUACAGUGUUUCAGUUACUGGAUAGUUUCUUCCUGGAAGAAUAGAUGGAACACAAAUCGAUGGAGUAUGGUAUCACUAAUUUAAGGAGAAGCUGGGGCGGAUGUUGACCUGAGAUCUGGAGCACACCUUCCCAGUGGGGGUGCCAGGAUAGAAGACCUCCCAUCACCACUUUUGCUCCUGAGGGAUGAGGGGCAGACCUGUACCAUGGUCACAAGCACAGAGGAAGUUUGUGUAGAUGUUCCAGAGCUUCAGAAACACACCUGACCUUCAAGAGUUGCUGCUGAUUUGUUCAGUGCUCACACAGUGUGUAGCACAGGCCUCCUGCUAUGCCUCCUGGGUGCUGCUGCAGUACAGCCACCUUUCCUUUUGUUUGGGCACCUUUAUCAGUACAGCUGAAGGGAACGCUCUGUGGACUGUGAAUUCCUGUCCAAGAUCAUGUAAAUACUUGGACAGUACAUGCUGUUUCUCUAGUAUUAAUCUAACUAGCUAAAGCUGGUUUGCAUACAUCUGCAGCUACAGCAGAAGUUUAAUGAUAAAUAUUCCCAAAUGUAGCUAUGCAAAUAGUGGCAAAUUCUGAAUAAAUAUGUGAAAUGCAUUAUAGUAGUCAAAAAUUCUUCAAUUUUUCCAUCAAGAAAAAAACAAAGGAUGAUUUUUCCUUUAGGGCACAGGCCAGAUUCUCUUUUGUAAUGUUUAGAAUUUCAUACAUCUUAUGAGUAUAAAAGGGUCAUAAAACCAGGGGUAAACAUUCAAGGAUUAUUUUACUAUGGUCUGUGUUAGCCUUCUUUCUAUCAGAGAUGCAGAGUGGUUGUUCCAUAUUGUGUCCAUACAUAAGUGAUUACUGGAUGACAAAUAUCCACAAUAACAGAGGAUAUUAUGUAAAAAAUUAACAGACAAAAACACCCACACAAACAAACAAGCAAACUCACAUGCCCUUCAUCAUAGUGCAAAAGGUACUAAAAACUGGAAUUGCAAGUGGUAGUAGUCCCAGCCAUGUAUAAAUCCCAAAAGGUGAGAGUCAUUCUUGGAAGUGGUGCCACCCCUUAAGAGAGAGCAUAGAGGCUAAUCUUAUUUGAAGGGAAAGAUCAUUUCCUCUUGGUCGUGGCCUUACUCAUACCUAAAAUAAUUAAUGCUUGACUUAAAAUCCUACAAAGUUGCCUUCUGCCCAGACCAAAGGGGAUGGCUACUGUUCUCAUGGUCAGCUCUGGAGGGGUUCAGCAGGCCAGCACCUCUGUUCCCCUCUAACUGUCUACCUCCAUGAAUGGUUAUGGAAGUAUCUUUUUAUGGUUGCCAAGAAGGUGCCAGGAAAGAUCUGGGAAGGAGAGGGGCAAUUCUGAGGGCUGGUGUUUAACUGCAUGAAUCUGCUGCAGCUGCCAUUUCCAUCUCCAGGAGCUAGAUGGAAACAACUACCUACCCAAGAAAUGGGAGAAAGGAGCAUCCCUGGGCUUACAACCAUACAGACUGUAUAUAACUUACUAAACUCCCACAAAGUGGCAAUGCUUUAUUUCUUACCAGGACAGAUUGGUGCAUCCCAAGCAAACCAAGCAUUUAACUGUGGGUGACUAACUACAGGUGUAAUGAAUUGAAAGCCAUGUGGCUAAGCCAAGUGCAAGCUUUUUGAAGUGUAUCUUCUUAAAAAUGGGGUUUAGCAAAUGAACAAAAUGCUCCCACAACUGCUGAAUUUGUUUUCUUAGCAUUUUAGCAACUGUUUGACCUGACCAUUUCAAAUUACCACUGAAAGAAAUGGAUAUAUUCAGGAGGGGAGAUACCCUGUAUUUCUAAGGCAAAAUACUUCUAUAAAAUAACAGCUAUCCAAAAAGAUAUUAUGCUGAGCUGUCAUAUUUUGUCUAGCAGCCUUUUCAUACUGUUGAAAUAUCAACAUUAUAUGUACUGCUUGUGUAUAGUUAACUCUUGGUUUCCUGGUGUAAGAUGGGUAGGAAACCUUUGUAAUGUAUUAACAAGACCAGAAAAACACCCCCCUCAAAAAAAAACCCAAUCCAUUGUAAAUUAGGGUAAGACUAGGUAAUACCUGAAGAGUAUUAUCUAGCCUGAAGAGUUGCCAAUUAACAAAAUGAAUGGCAUAUCCUGGUACAUAUGUGUAUUUUAAAUCAUACUGAUUUUUGUUGAAGCUGAAAAACAAGAAGACAGUGAAACUAAGAGAAAAUGUAAGUUGCAAAAAUAUUUGACACUGUAAAUUACGUUUUGUUGAAUAUUUGUAGUGAAAAAUGGGGGUUUCUAGAGAUAAUUGCAUGUUUUCUCAAGUAAUAACAGUCCUUACUCCAAAUCUUGAUGAUUAUUUACUGAUUUAUUAUUAUUAUUUUUUCUAUUCAUAAAUAACUAGACUGAUUUCAGCAAGAGAAAAAGCCCAGCAUAAAGGACAUCCUAGUAUCCACCAUGGAGGAUAUGAAUAAUCAGAAGUAUUUGCAUUAUACAAAUAUGUUGCUUACAGACACAAAAAAAGGUGUUAACACAACACAUCCUUAAAUAUUGUUGAGAUGUUGUUGAGUAUUUUUGUACACAAUUCUCUAUGUACAAUUCUUUCAUUCAUUCUCAUUUAUGACAAUUCACGUAGUGUGUGAUGGGCCUUCGACACAGAUCUAUAACCACUGAGAUUUGUGACACUGAUCAGAAUACAAUGAGAGCCCUGAAAUCCCAUUCUCUGAAGUGAAACAUCCCUAUGAAUCACAGGUAUUGUGUUACCAGACAGCGCAGCAAAAAAUUAACCAGAGCAAAACACUCGACUUGGUGCUGUUACAGCUAAUAGGUCUGAAAUGAAAGAUAAUUGCAUAUUAAAAUAGAGUGGGUAGCUCUGUUUUGAUGUAGAGAUAUAAAGAUGUCAGGCAAGCUAGGCUGCAGCAGCAGGGAAUGGGUGCCCUGAAGUGAUUGAGGAGUGAAGCCCAAGAGAGCAUUCCUCACAUUCCUGUGGCACUCCUCCUAUACAUAUGCCCCCAAAAAAAGGGAAUUCCAGCACUCCGGAUUGGUAAAGUGAGCUUCAGAAAAGCUGGCACUUUUCUAUAGCUGCAGGCUUGGUUAAUUUGAAGGAAUUAUUAUCAUCUCUGGAUGAUGAACACGAGGCAUAUUUAAACUGUUAUUUUUUAGGGUAAAGGACAUGACAAUUCCAAUCUGUUACAAAAAAAAAAAAAAAAAAAAAAAAAAAAAUUAAAAA